CUAAUUUUUAAUACCGUUAUCGAUAAAACAAUUUCUCUGCAGACCCAAAUAAAAAUAUGAAACUGUACAAUAUUGCCUGUUAUAAUAAUAUAUAUGCUAUACAAUCGUUUGUAUUUUAUACACCAUACCGAAAUAGCCAAACAAAAUAACGAGUUUCCAAUCGUAUUGUCAGAGAAAAAUUCAACGAAUGUUUUCCCAGGCAUUUUGUAACAAUUAAAAAACGUGCCCGGAAAACGAUUUAAACUUCCGUAUAUUAUGUUUUCCGCCCUUUUAUCCCCACAAGAAGAGUACCGCACACCGCCCGUGCAAAGAUUUCUUUCCUUCUUCUUCGUCAUGGCAGAAUUAUUAGCACUGGUGUAAUUUUCGGCACAACGAUCAUUCUAGUCUUACGAACUGACUAGUACACAUUGUUGGUCGACGUG